rnacentral:rRNA from 1 species
CCGAAUUCGUCGACAACAGAGUUUGAUCCUGGCUCAGGACGAACGCUGGCGGCGUGCCUAAUACAUGCAAGUCGAGCGGACAGAUGGGAGCUUGCUCCCUGAUGUUAGCGGCGGACGGGUGAGUAACACGUGGGUAACCUGCCUGUAAGACUGGGAUAACUCCGGGAAACCGGGGCUAAUACCGGAUGGUUGUUUGAACCGCAUGGUUCAAACAUAAAAGGUGGCUUCGGCUACCACUUACAGAUGGACCCGCGGCGCAUUAGCUAGUUGGUGAGGUAACGGCUCACCAAGGCGACGAUGCGUAGCCGACCUGAGAGGGUGAUCGGCCACACUGGGACUGAGACACGGCCCAGACUCCUACGGGAGGCAGCAGUAGGGAAUCUUCCGCAAUGGACGAAAGUCUGACGGAGCAACGCCGCGUGAGUGAUGAAGGUUUUCGGAUCGUAAAGCUCUGUUGUUAGGGAAGAACAAGUACCGUUCGAAUAGGGCGGUACCUUGACGGUACCUAACCAGAAAGCCACGGCUAACUACGUGCCAGCAGCCGCGGUAAUACGUAGGUGGCAAGCGUUGUCCGGAAUUAUUGGGCGUAAAGGGCUCGCAGGCGGUUUCUUAAGUCUGAUGUGAAAGCCCCCGGCUCAACCGGGGAGGGUCAUUGGAAACUGGGGAACUUGAGUGCAGAAGAGGAGAGUGGAAUUCCACGUGUAGCGGUGAAAUGCGUAGAGAUGUGGAGGAACACCAGUGGCGAAGGCGACU